rnacentral:rRNA from 1 species
UACAGAGGGUGCAAGCGUUAAUCGGAAUUACUGGGCGUAAAGCGUGCGUAGACGGUUACAUAAGUCGGGUGUGAAAGCCCCGGGCUCAACCUGGGAAUUGCAUUCGAGACUGCGUAGCUAGGGUGCGGAAGAGGGAAGCGGAAUUUCCGGUGUAGCGGUGAAAUGCGUAGAUAUGCGGAGGAACACCGAUGGCGAAGGCAAUCCCCUGGACCUGUACUGACGCUCAUGCACGAAAGCGUGGGGAGCAAACAGG